CAGGAACGGGAUGAGAGCGGCUAAGUCUCUGGAGCCCAAAGUCCCGAAGCCCCUGUUUGUCCUCGUCCAAGUCCCUUGAUGACCUCUGGCCUGAGCCCAGUUCUGCUCUGAAAAGUUCAUUUCCUGGAGGCCUGCGCGGGAAGGCGCAGGGGCCCCCCUGCUCCCUUCCUGCUAGCCUUGCUCCUGGCCAGAAUGGCUGGGACUGAAUCUGGCCAGGAAGGUGGUGAGACACCCGCCAUGGCUCUCCUUCCAAAGUCCCAGGGGGUCACGGGCACCCGGCUCAGCAGAGAGCCUCCCCGUCAUCUUAGAAGUGGUCCAACACAGUCCACGCUCAGCAACCCAGCUGCUCUCUUUCCUCUUUUUUCCAUGAGAGAUGUUGGUGGUGUUCCCCUCACCCUGGCAGCCAUCCCAAUCGGGGAUAGCCUGGUCUGCUCCACGGAACUCGGGCGGGGUGGGGGCUGGAGGGUGUUUUAGUUGAAGGACAAGGAAACCAGAAGUGAGACCUCCAGAAGGGGACAGGACAAUGGUAGCUGUUUGUCCUUUUGCUAAGUAGAAGGGGUCUUGGCUUGAAAUAAUAUCUGAUUUCUUUUCUCUUUCCCUGGCUCACUGCUCACUCCUUCAAGAGCCACUUAAGGUGGCCCAGAAGAAAAUGUACAAUUGGAGUCUCUGGUUGCAAAGACAGUUUUACCUGACUUGGGCAGUCGAUUUUGAGUUAAAGCUAUGUAGAGGAACACGUUUUUCUUAGGGGAAGAUGCACAGCUUCCCUACCCCUGACCUGCAUCCAUGCCUUCAUGCCUCCUUAUUUUAGAAGGUGAGACACAGAAAGCAAAGGUAGAACAAUUUGCCGGGAGCAGAUGGGUGGGUGUUUCAGAGUUGCUGGAACCUCAUGCUAAAACCAUUCUGUGGAUCUCAGAGAAAACUCAAGCAUGGGUCUUCAGCUUUUCAUGAAAUGAGCCUGGGCAUGAUUUUUUAAUGGAUGUCUCUCCAAAUGUAUAUGUGCAGCAGAGAAGUCAAGCUCGCUGAUGGGGGAAAGACAGCACAGUGGGAACGUGACCAGUGUAGGCGUUUUGAGAAGUGUUGCAAACAUCAACCACACAGUGCUUUUGGUCCUUUUGGAGUCUGAGAUCCUCUGUUUCUUCCUGUGGGUCUUUGCAGUUUCCAAAAGCAGCUACAAUCCUUGCCUCUCACUCUUUUGCCAUUUAUUCGGUUUACUGGGGUGAACAGGGUGGAGAUGUGGCCACUUAUCAAGGGAGGAAUGGAGAGAAAAGAUAAUUUGAAUAGAUAAGAGUUCCAGCAGGUGAUGGAUUUAUUGCUUUUCAAGAACUGCCUCCCCCCGCCCUCACCCCCCUUUCUCGAGCAAUAUUCAAAAGUGUGUGCUUGAGUGUGGACAGCUCCGCACCAAGUAUUUAAAAUGACAAGGUCCUCACCUUUAAAAAACGCUUCUUAAAGGAACUGGGAUGGCUUUUAAAUUUUAUUUGAUUUCAUUUUACCUCCACUGCUGUGUGUCAGGGCUAACGUAGCGGCAUUGUGGACUUCCCCAUCCCGCGCGUUCUGCUGUGAAAGUCGCUUGACUGCAUAGUUCGUAAUUGAUCUCGGAAAUGUGAAAGCCCAUAGCAGGAAGGAAAGACAGAAAUAUAACCAUUUCUAAUGGAUGCUCAGAAAGUGUGAUUUGAAAGCUCGGCCUUGCUGCUUUGAAAAUCAAACAGGCCCUGGUGUGUGUGUGGGGGUCGCAUCCCACUCAUGGACACAGCCUCCCUUCUGGAGUGGGGUCACUGGUCCCCUCGGGAUGUUUGUCCUUCUUUGGAAAUCCCAGCUCCCGGGGAGGACGCCCAGCAAAUAGGGAAGGGGGCCGGGGCAGUAGGGCAGCGGGGAGAAGAGCCUCAUUGGUUUUCAAAAGCCUCGUGAUUGAAACACACACACAUACACACCAAAAAGCCCAUGAAUGUUACAAAAGUCACAUUUUCGGACCGUUUUUCCCCUCCUGACACCAUUCUCUCCCUCUCUGUCUCCUGGUGGUUGUGUGGUGGUUGUUGUGCAGUGGUUUGUUCCCUUUGAUAAUUUUGGCCUCGUUCUCCGAGGCUGUUCCCUUCACAUCUCACUGAUGUUAUUUCAGCUGAUGAUCUCAGGUGGUUUGUUAACCUGUCUCCCUUUUACCCACGCUGCUUCCUCAGAUCCCGGAACCAUCUUUCCAUUUAUAUGGAAAAUCAGCACCUCUUCUCCCCAGCCUCAGCUUAAAACUUUGGAAUAGGUAAUACUGUUGAUUUUCACCAUCGAGCAUCUGCCUGUUAAUUACAGUUCUUAAUAUUAAUUAGCACUCAGGCCUCAUCCACACCCCCUCGCCCCGCCCCCAAACCCUAACGGUCCCCAAAGUACCCCCGGUGACUUCUCUGUGCCCCCCUCCCCUUUUCUGUCUUCCUCGCCUGCCAGCCCUUCUGCUCCUCCAAAGUCCAUCUUAUAAAUUUGGUGGUCCAGGCACUUGGGAACAGUGUAGUUUUGCCACUGCUCGUGUUUCCAUGGAAAUAAUUGAGAUGUAAUAAAUAGAGGCAUUCUGAGGUUACAGGUUCCUUGAUUCAGCUGAGACCACAUACAAGUGUAAAUUGCCGAGAUUUGUUUGGCUAAAUGUACAUGAUCUUGUAGGAAGGGCAAAACAAAUCCUUUAUAGGUUCUUCAGCUUUCUCGUGGAUUGGGGCAGCUGACAUUUAAAUCUUCAUAUUUAACUCCCGCCCCCCCCCCACCGCAGUGAAGUCACCAACUCCCAGCUUUAGAAGGGUCUGUCUCACUCUAGAAAACAUCCUUUAUGUCUAGUAAUUACUGUUUAGAUUCUUCCACCUGUUUCCUUGCAAAAACUUGAUAAGCAAUAAAAUAAGUGGGCAUUUGGGGCAGAAGGACCCUGCUGGACGUUCACCCAUGAGGUGCAGAGUGUGCAUUAAUAAUGAAAGGUGCAAAAUGCUGGUGACUUUGCAGUCAUGAAAUAAUUGGGUAGAACCAGCCAGCCCUGGCACUGUUGUGUUAACAGAGGAGAGGGAGGAGGAGGAAGAGGAGGAGGGAGAGGGGGCGGGAGAACCCAGGGAGGAGGAAACUGGAGGGUAGCAUCUGACAGAGCCGAGCUGGAGACCAGGGCUGCAGAUCUGGUUCAGUCUAAUAGAAAGUUGCAAUAAUUGCUAUAUCGGUAGCCAACUCUUAAGCGGGUGGCUGUGGAAUUCUUCCCCUGAUGUAGGAUUUAAUAGUCUGGCAAUUAGAUGCAUUGAUUUCUCUUAACUGUUCAUUUGGAUGUGUAAACGAAAGAAACCUGCCACUGAGGCUCCUGGUGCAGUCAGGCUGCCUGGCUCUUGGAAAAAGGCUGAUUUAGGUGGUGGAGGUAGGGACAUGGAUUCUUCAAGGCAGUGUUGGGGCCAGUUCCCUCUGCUUUUAAAAGUUCUGCCCUUUGUGCAGGAAAACAAACAGCGCUUGUUGUUCAGAUACUGUUUAAAAAUAAAUGGCGUGUCCAGUUAGGUCUGAAAAGCAAAAACAUCUUUUUUUUUUUCUUUCCUGCCGCAGAUGCGUAUAGAGCAACAUUUCUGUCUUUGAAUGACUAGACUGCCUUGCAUGUUUUUGGCAGAUGGUCUGUUAGGUACCAGAGGGAAAAGUCACAAAACACCUUGUUCUGAGUUCCAGGGGGACCUCCAGCUGGAAAUGGAGUGAGUUCUCGCUCUCUCCCUCUUAGGGGGUCACCUAGACCGCGGGCGCCCUUUCAGGCCCUGAAGACGUGUGGGUCAUGGUAUCUUGGACCCCUUGGCAACUGGUGGGCUGUGCGACUUUGGUGGCUUGGAGGGUGGGUAGAUAAUGAGCUCUCGCCAGCUUUAGCACCUCUUAACUCCCUGCUUCUGGACCUGCAGGUUUCUGGAAGCGCCACUAACUUCUGACAUGCAGGCGUCUAAAACUGUCUUGAUGGUAAGCAAGCAGAGGAAAGCUAGCUUUCCCAAUGGCCCUAUCUUUUUUUUUUUUUUUUUUUUUUAACCAGGGUGGAUGGGUGACUUUAGUUAACUCUUUGUUUGCCCGAGAGGUUAGGAUGGACUCACCUUUCCUGGACUGCGUUCAUGGCACACUGGUAUUUGCAAAGAAUACUGUCCUCACGUGGAGGAUGUGUUUGCAAAUAGACAUCAGGGCUCCUUUCUUAUCUGUGAUCCCCGGGGAAUUACAACAGAAGACCUUGGAAAGUGGUAGUGGGCUCCCGGUUACUGUGGCGGGCUGGGGAAAACCUUGGUACACCUUGCUUGGUGAAUUCGACCACUUCUGCAAAUUCCUGUCAGCUUGCAAAGGCAUUUUGUGUAUAAGCACGUUAGUCGGUAAUCAGAGUAGCUUUGCACCCAGAAUGGACUAAUUAACCUGGAUCGCUUAUAUCCCGAUUGAAGUUUUUGGCGCUGUCAGCUCCCCCAGACUGCGGGAGAGGUAGGGUGGAGUGGAGGGGGGGAAAUGCUGAUGGAAACUUUUGAUUCAUCGCUCACCUGCCAGGAUCCAUGGCAGCCAACGAUUGGGGUUGUACAGUCAGUAAAUAAAAAUACUUUACUUCUUUCAAGGAGCGCCAAUUAGCUGAUUGCUCCAUGUGGCUGUCUUGAAGGAGAACGCUGUUUUACCUAUCUUCUGGUACAAAGGUUUGAUUUUUAAUGUCUUGUGAAAAGGAUUCUCUUUGUCUUGAUUGAUGUCAGGAAUAAAAGCAUGAUGGUAAUAUCCCUUUGAAAGCUAUUGUAUUGUCGGCCCUGGCUGACAGCGGGAGGGCCUCCCAGCAUUAUAGAUUAGUGCUGUGAAAACACUGACAUUUUCUUUGUUACGUUGCUGUUGUUCUACUUGCAAAGUCAAUUACACAAUGUCGGAGCUUGGUUACCGGGGUUGACUUUGGAAGUAGCUCUGUCUUUUCAUUCUCUUCUUAAAGAUAUAAUUUUCCUUUGUUGUUGUCACUGUUGUUGUUUUGUUUUCUUUUGCUCUUUCUUUCUGACCUGCUUCCCUCUGGUGAUCACCCCCUCUGCCCCCCAAGAGUCUGAACGCAAUGAGCUAGGCAAACACACUCUGGUUUCAACUGUGACAAGUCAAAUUCAAAGAUUGCCCCAUCAUUAUCUCUGAAUUCUUCUGCUCAUUCACAUUUCAGUGGCUUCUUAUGGAUGUAGUGACUACAGCAGCCAAGAUGCAUUAAAAAAACCCAUCAAAUGAGAUUACCGUGUUGAUAAUCUCAUAUCAAGUGGGUGGCUCUGGAUUUGGGGUCCUUAGCGUUGGCGGAUUUGGGGAUUUCUUUCUUUCUUUCUUUUUUUUUUUUUCCUGAACUGGACUGAACCAGGUUCCUGGGUUGAUCGGACCCCCAACAAAUAGUUCUUUGCUGUGGACGUUUUAUAAGCAUUCUGAUCUUGGAGGCCAGGGCUGGUGAGUUUUGGACUUAGAGUCACGGAUGACCUCAUGGCAGGGAUAGAACGGUCUCGGAAGAGAGUCUUGUAACCCAUCCUUCUCCCAUUGCAGAUGGCAAAUGCGAGUUAUAAGGCUCUCCGAGGUGCCUUUACCAGGUGCCCUUGAACUCAGGAGUGAUUUUUCAUCCCUUUCUAAGUGUGUGAAAUCCUGCUGCUGAAAGUGAGGCAAGCCUGAAGUGUCCAAAACCCGAAAAUGGUCAGGGCGGAUAUUUUUAUAUACGCCCCUCCCACCCCCCACGCCCCAUGUCUGGCUUCUCCAGAAUGAAAACCCCCAAAUUCCUUAGUUCUCCGAACCAGGCUGCCAAAGAGGCGGCUACCUGAGAGCGGACAGAACUUGGGGCAAGGAGACUGCUGGCCCCAACUCCAGGUGACAGGGACCCAUCAGGGAACUCCGGCUGAGGACACUACUUGUGGGUCCCCAAAGUUAUUAUUAUGAACCGCCAGACAAGAGCCUGUGUUCGCCAGCAAUUUGUCAGGACUAAUUUUGUUUUUCUCCAAUAAUUGAAAAUUAAUGUCUUGAAGUGAAAGCAGAUGUUCAUGUCAUCUUCUGAAUUGGGAUAUAAAAUGGGGCUCUGUAGAUGGGCUCAGUAAUUUAACAGCAAUUUCCCUCUCUCAGCUAAUGGGGGUGCUGGGGGCUGACGUCAUCUGGGGCCGGGGCUGGGAGACCGAGAUGAGAACGCAUCAGCUGUGCCAGUUGUGCUGUUGUGUUUUGGAGGCAGAGUAGGUAAAUAAAAAUAUUUCCUGGGGCUGUGAAACUUGGAGAAUUCAUUGUUUUGAAUACUCGUUCACACGAGAGGUAUUUAUUGAGAUAAUUCAACGCUUUAUGCUGGAAAAGGUGAGGGAGGCUUGGUUUGGGAAGAAGGUGGAUUCUUCGAGGCCAGAGCAUCCUCAGCUGGGGUUCCCAUUGCGGCUCUGUGGUAAUAAAUCCAACUGGUAUCCAUGAAGACACGGGUUCGGUCCUUGGCCUCGAUCAGUGGGUUAGGCUGUGAACUGAGAUGUAGGUCGCAGAUGCAGCUCAGAUCCAGCGUUGCUGUGGGUGUCGUGUAUGCCUGCAGCUGCAGUGCUGAUUCCACCCCUAGCCUGGGAACUUCCAUAUGCUGCAGGUACGGCCCUACAAAAAAAAAAAAAAAAAAAAAAAAAAUCGAAGUAGAUAUACAUAAUGUAAACUUUACCUCUUAACCAUUUCUAAGUGUCCUGUUCAGUGGCAUUAAUUACAUUUGCGCUGUUGUGCAACCAUCACCACCGUGAACUUUAAUUUUUAGCCAGUGUCCAGGUGCUGGUGGACUAGGGGGGAAGUCUUCACCCAUCACCCUCCGAGGACGCCAUCAAGUUCAAGGCCUCCAUUUUAUGGGGAGAAAUAAGAAGCAGAGGCUCUUGGAGUUCCCGUCAUGGCGCAGUGGUUAAUGAAUCCGACUAGGAGCAAUGAGGUUGCGGGUUCGAUCCCUGGCCUUGUUCAGUGGGUUAAGGAUCCGGCGUUGCCGUGUGCUGUGGUGUAGGUGCAGAUGCGGCUGGGAUCCCAAGUUGCUGUGGCUCUGGCGUAGGCCGGCGGCUACAGCUCCGAUUCGAUCCUUAGCCUGGGAGCUUUCAUAUGCUGCGGGAGCGACCCUAGAAUAGGCAAAAAGACCAAAAAAAAAAAAAAAAAAAAAAAAAAAG
rnacentral:lncRNA from 1 species